rnacentral:rRNA from 1 species
CACGCCGUAAACUAUGAUUACUCGAUGUGUGCGAUACACAGUACGCGUCCAAGCGAAAGCGUUAAGUAAUCCACCUGGGGAGUACGAUCGCAAGAUUGAAACUCAAAGAAAUUGACGGGGGCCCGCACAAGCGGAGGAGCAUGUGGUUUAAUUCGAUGAUACGCGAGGAACCUUACCUGGGCUUGAAAGUUAGUGAAUGAUCUUGAAAGAGGUCAGGCCGCAAGGACACGAAACUAGGUGC